rnacentral:tRNA from 1 species
UGGGCAGUCGCCAAGUCGGUAAGGCACGGGACUUUGACUCCCGCAUGCGUAGGUUCGAGUCCUGCCUGCCCAGCCA